GACGAACGCUGGCGGCGUGCUUAACACAUGCAAGUCGAACGGAAAGGCCUGCUUUCCCUUGUGGAUUGCGGGUACUCGAGUGGCGAACGGGUGAGUAACACGUGAGUGAUCUGCCCCCAACUUGGGUAUAAGCCUGGGAAACUGGGUCUAAUUCCCGAUAGGCCUGCAGGGUGGUGCCUGUGGUGGAAAACGAUUUUCUAGUGGUUGGGGAUGAGCUCGCGGCCUAUCAGCUUGUUGGUGGGGUAAUGGCCUACCAAGGCGGCGACGGGUAGCCGGCCUGAGAGGGUGGACGGCCACAUUGGGACUGAGAUGCGGCCCAGGCUCCUACGGGAGGCAGCAGUGGGGAAUAGUGCACAAUGGGCGGAAGCCUGAAGCAGCGACGCCGCGUGGGGGAUGACGGCCUUCGGGUUGUAAACUCCUUUCGGCCGCGAGGAAGCCACCUGGUUGGAAUGGUGGUGACGGUAGUGGUAGAAGAAGCACCGGCUAACUACGUG
rnacentral:rRNA from 1 species